rnacentral:rRNA from 1 species
ACAUCGCCUCUUGAACAAAAAUAAGAGGUCCAGCCUGCCCAGUGACAAAUGUUCAACGGCCGCGGUAUCCUAACCGUGCGAAGGUAGCGUAAUCACUUGUUCUUUAAAUGAGGACUAGUAUGAAUGGCACCACGAGGGUUAUACUGUCUCCUCCAUCCAAUCAGUGAAACUAAUCUCCCCGUGAAGAAGCGGGGAUAUUACUAUAAGACGAGAAGACCCUAUGGAGCUUUAAACUUCCCUUCAAACGCUAAAUACCUUUUAACAAGUCACUGACUUUAUUACAUAUACCCAAGCGUCCUGACGGCGACUUUUAGGUUGGGGUGACCGCGGAGCACAAAACAACCUCCAUGAUGAACAGCUUUUUUAAGCCUUGAACAAAGGGCUACAACCCAAUGUACUAAAAAACUAACACUCAUUGACCCAAUAUAUUUUGACCAACGAACCAAGUUACCCUAGGGAUAACAGCGCAAUCUACUUCAAGAGUCCCUAUCGACAAGUGGGUUUACGACCUCGAUGUUGGAUCAGGGUAUCCCAGUGGUGCAGCCGCUACUAAUGGUUCGUUUGUUC